rnacentral:lncRNA from 1 species
CCCAGGUGUGCGAUGGGAACACCCCUUCCGUUUCCGCCAUGAAUCGCCAGAGCCGUGUUUACACUUGAGGUUUUCCACACUGGCGCCCUCCUCCAGCCCCAACCUCACCCACUUUUGAGAACACGAAUCCAAGGGAGGCGCUGAUACAAGCUUGCAAGAUGCUACCAAUUAAUUUGUGGUUGAGAAUCAGUGUCUUGACAGGACUGAUGUGGCCAGCUGUGAUGAGAAGUGACGUAUUUCUAAACUGGACUGCCAGGCUUUUAACAUAAAAACAUCCUUUUGGACCUUGAAAGGCUACUAUCUGAAAGAGGAAACAAAGCAGAGAGUACGAUCAAAUAGCUAAAGUGGGGCAUACCAGGACCACUGGGACAGCCUGACCAUUUUAUGCAAGGUAGGCCACUUUGGGGUUGCCAGUGGGUAAAGAAUAACUGACAAUGAGUUUACAGACAUAACUUUCUAGACUAUAAUAUGGCAUCAGGAAGUGGGGUACUAGGGUCAAAAUAACAACAUGACUGUUGGAACAAUGAUGGAACACUGCUUCUAUCUUUGCCCUGUCCCUCUUGUGAGACCUCAAUCCUCUUGCUUCGUUUAGAUGUGUGCCUCUGUGCUCCGUCACUCAGUCAUGCCUGACUCUCUGUCAUCCUAUGGACUAUAGCCUGCCAGGCUCCUCUGUCCAUGGGAUUCUUCAG